GGUGGCUCAGUGGUAGAGCGCUUGCCUUGCAUGCAAGCAUGAAGCCGUGGGUUUGAUUCCUCAGCACCA
rnacentral:tRNA from 1 species